AUGCCACGCGCCCGACCGGGCUCCUCCUCCAGCUCCGUCUCCUCACGCGCCGACCAGCUGCUAAAUAAACUCAAGGAUCAUCUGGGCCCUAGGACGCUCCAGCCGGAGCGCGCACACCAACUGUUCGACAAAUUGCUGCGCCAAACCGUUCCGGUAUCAGCGUUCGCACUCAAUGGCUUAUUUGCCGUCCUUGCGCGUGCACUGCCCUCCGCUGCCUGCACCGAUGGCCCUGCUCUAGCCAUUGCUCUCUUCAACCGAAUGAACCGAGAGGGCCACCAGGUAAUAGCGCCCACCAAUCACGCCUACAACAUACUAAUUGACUGCUGCUGCCGCUCGCGCUUCCCGGGCCUAGGGCCUGCCUUCUUUGGCCGCCUCCUCAAGACAGGCAUCAAGGCGAACAUCAUCACCUUCCACAGCCUAUUCAAGUGCCAGUGUGACAUCAAGCAGAUGGAGGAGGCCCUCAACAGGCUGCUCUACAGGAUACCUGAGCUGCCUGAUAGCAUCUCCUACUCAAUAAUUAUUAAGAGCUUAUGUGACAAUGGGAGGAGCCAAUGUGCACUUGACCUGCUCCGGAUGAAGGCGAAAAAGGGAGCUGACCACUACCCUGAAGUGGUGGCAUACAACAGGGAGGAGCCAAUGGCUUAA
rnacentral:rRNA from 1 species